rnacentral:rRNA from 1 species
AGAGUUUGAUCAUGGCUCAGGAUGAACGCUGGCGGCGUGCCUAAUACAUGCAAGUCGAACGAAGCACUUCGGUGCUUAGUGGCGAACGGGUGAGUAACACGUAGGUAACCUGCCCUCAAGACGAGGAUAACCGUUGGAAACGAUGGCUAAGACUGGAUAGGAACCGAGGAGGCAUCUCUUUGGUUUUAAAGGACCUGGCAACAGGUACGCUUGAGGAGGGGCCUGCGGCGCAUUAGUUAGUUGGCGGGGUGAAGGCCCACCAAGACGAUGAUGCGUAGCCGGACUGAGAGGUUGAACGGCCACAUUGGGACUGAGAGACGGCCCAAACUCCUACGGGAGGCAGCAGUAGGGAAUUUUCGGCAAUGGGGGCAACCCUGACCGAGCAACGCCGCGUGAACGACGAAGUACUUCGGUAUGUAAAGUUCUUUUAUCAGGGAAGAAUGGCUUACGGAAAAGUGAGCGUGACGGUACCUGAUGAAUAAGCCCCGGCUAACUAUGUGCCAGCAGCCGCGGUAAUACAUAGGGGGCAAGCGUUAUCCGGAAUUAUUGGGCGUAAAGGGUGCGUAGGUGGCCGUUUAAGUCUUUGGUGUAAGUGCAAGGCUCAACCUUGUGAUGCUAAAGAAACUGGAUGGCUUGAGUGUGGUAGAGGCAAGUGGAAUUCCAUGUGUAGCGGUAAAAUGCGUAAAUAUAUGGAGGAACACCGGUGGCGAAGGCGGCUUGCUGGGCCACAACUGACACUGAGGCACGAAAGCGUGGGGAGCAAACAGGAUUAGAUACCCUGGUAGUCCACGCCGUAAACGAUGAGUACUAAGUGUAGGGGAAACUCUGUGCUGUAGUUAACGCAAUAAGUACUCCGCCUGAGUAGUACGUACGCAAGUAUGAAACUCAAAGGAAUUGACGG